CCACCGGCUGGUCGUCGGUGACGGUCACCUCCCAGGUGACCGUGUCACCCCAGUGGAACGCCGUACCGCCGUGCGGAGCGGGGUCGGUGGU
rnacentral:tRNA from 1 species